GGAGUUUUGCAGUGGCAGUAUCCUAGCCAUUGAGGUUAAUCUGAGGCACGAUUGUUGCUAAUUGAAAACUUUUCCCAAUCCCCCACCAUGAUGGCUUAAUAUAGUCGGCACUGGCAAUUUUUGACAGUCCCACCUAAUCAGUGUGGUUGGAGGAGGGA